UAGCUUAGUCGGUAGAGUGUAAGGCUUUUAACUUUGAGAUUGUGGGUUCAAGCCCCAU
rnacentral:tRNA from 1 species